rnacentral:rRNA from 1 species
ACUCAAAUGAAUAGACGGGGGCCCGCACAAGCGGUGGAACAUGUGGUUUAAUUCGAUGCAACGCGAAGAACCUUACCUGGGCUUGACAUCUAGAGAACCCUGUGGAAACACGGGGGUGCCUUCGGGAACUCUAAGACAGGUGGUGCACGGUUGUCGUCAGCUCGUGUCGUGAGAUGUUGGGUUAAGUCCCGCAACGAGCGCAACCCUCGUUGUCUGUUGCUACAGGCAGAAAUGUGCUGAGCACUCAGGCGAGACUGCCGGUGAUAAACCGGAGGAAGGUGGGGAUGACGUCAAAUCAUCAUGCCCCUUAUGUCCAGGGCGACACACGUGUUACAAUGGGAUAGGACAAAGGGCAGCCAGCCAGCGAUGGUGCGCUAAUCCCAUAAACCUACCCUCAGUUCGGAUUGGAGUCUGCAACUCGACUCCAUGAAGUCGGAAUCGCUAGUAAACGCAGAUCAGCCAUGCUGCGUUGAAUACGUUCCCGGGCCUUGUACACACCGCCCGU